rnacentral:ribozyme from 1 species
CCCCCCCGAUGGGACCCACCUUGUCGUGGUGGGGGGGCUCACGGACCAAUCGCUGGUCCGUGCCAAGAGGUUC